UUAGCCUAAGGAUAGGGAGAAACUCCCGCUGUCAGCUAAGAAACUCAAAUGAAUGAUAUUUUAAACGUCACCUUUUGGACUGUAGAAAUGGCUUAGCAGUUAAGAGCACUUACUGCUUCUCUAGCUGUGCUAAGUUCAGUACCCCAGCCUUGGUGUUGGGCAGCUCACAGCAACCUGUAACCACAGUUCCAGGCUGGUCUAAUGCCUUUGCCUCCCGUGGACACCAGCACUCCCUUGCAUGUACCCAUACACAUGAUUAAAUGUAAUAAAAUAAAUAUAUAUUUUUUAAAAGUAACCUUUUUCCAGAUAUGGUCACAUGCAACUCUAGCCCUGGCCACUCAGUAGGUUAAGUGGGAGAAUUAUGUGAGCCUAUAUGAGUUUGAAACCAACCUAGACAAAAUUGCAAGCCCCCCAUCUCAAAAGAUGGAAAGAAAAGACAGAAAGAGUAAAGUCGCAAAUAAGGGGUUGUGGGAAGCAAUAUACUGGAUUAUUAUUAUUAUUU
rnacentral:lncRNA from 1 species